ACUUCACUUACUUCCAGGCUUCCUGGAAUAUUACAUUGCCUGGUGCUACUCUCUGAUCAUGACAUAAUCCUUAACUAUUGUUUUUCUUUCACAAAUUAAUUCUGUGAGUUGCCUGCAGACAAAGCCAGUAACGCUUGAUCACUAAGGACAACAAUCUGAAACAGUUUGGAAAUGCCUAUCUCAACGUUCAUGCUGAUCUAGUGAAUCCUCUGAGAAAAUAAGUACUCAAUCACACCUCACAAAAGAGAGGAAUCAAGGCAGCAUUUCAGAGAAUUCAGCCGGACUAUCGGAUACCAGCGCACAGCCUUGUCUUACACAACAGACCUGAAACCCAUGUUAUCUUCAUCCUGUGGGAGUCCUUGAACCCUUUAAUGCAGAUACACUGGAGUUGCUACCGUUAUGAAGAACUGUGUUUUAGAUUAAUUAUGUUUCCACAUCUUGCAAAGAGAUGGAGACACUAGGAGCAGCAAUAGAAGCCCAAGCAGGAAGCUAGAAUGACAACAUCAUUAUUAUGGUAAGAGGCAGCAUUAAAAACAUCACAGUUGGGUUUUCUCCUACCUGUGGGACUUGCUGGUUGCUGGUAUCACCAUAGACUGAAACAUAGAGAGAAAAAAAGGUUGUAAUUUAUUGAACUUGCUGUAAUUCAAGACAAUGUGGCAAGGAGUGAUAACAUAUCCCCAGAGCUGCUAUGAUUACCCCCAGAAUAGGCAGCAAGGAUUGCAGAGUUGUUUCUUGGGGAAAAAACAGCUACUCUGUGUGAAAAUUUAGUCCUGAAACCCAUGAAGUAAGUAAUUCUGUACCGCUAAGAAAGCAACUGAUGUCCCUGAACAAAGCAGAAACAUCAAUUUUUAUUUUUGUCUAUUCCCUGCAAUAUCCAGGAGAAUGCUGGAGACCCAAAGAUACCUUUUUUUUUUUUUUUUAAAUACAUCUUAUGUCCUUCAGUCUCCAACUUUAUUAUGGUUCAAAUGAGACAGAGCUGUAAUUGUGGCAGCAUCUUAACAGAAAUUCCUUAUUGGUCACCCAUGAGCACAGGAAUCCAAUCUGUCCAAUGCGGAUUGCACUCCCCACUUACUGCAAGUAAAUAAUUGCUUCCUCUUCUGCACUCUGAUUCCUUAACAUCCACUGAGACUCAGCCCUUUCUUGUAGUUCUUCACUUCCUUCCCUAAAUGACAUUCAAAUGUGGUGCAGUACAGCAUGCAUAUAUGUGGAAGUUGUUGUCAAAAUUGCUAUAUUCUCCAGGGGAAAACGUCCACCAUAAAAUUGCUCCACGGGUUACUUUAUUUGCAGUAUUUCUCCCUGGAAACAUAGUGCCCCAAGAUGCUAAGGCAGCAGGAAGUAAUGAAAUGUAUUUUUCAUACUCUCACUUCUCAUUUCAAUGUAUCAAGCAGCUCUUUAAACUGCUAGUCUAAACUAUUAUGUCUUAUUUUAGAAAGCCUUUAUAAUAAUUGUGAAUAAUUAGAACCCAAAGUGCUUGCUAUUUGUAAAAUGAAAAUAAAUGCUUAGGCCUCCUUGUAGAAGCCAUUUGAAAUAUUCUUUUUAAAAAAGCCAUCAAUUUCAUUUCAUACUACUGGUUGAUUUUAUUUUGCUAGGAGUGAAGAUAUUCUCAUAAUUCCAAAUGGUUAAAUGCUUGAAAAUACUACUGUAGUAAGGUGAUGUUAUACAAAAAUGUUGCAUGCCUGGAAGAAUGGAAGAAUAAAAAUGUUCAGCUCCACAUUUUAUUCUUUUUUGUUGUUGUUGUUUUCUUAAAAUUUAAUUAAUUCUUGUUAAUGGCUGAGCAGAGGAAUGCAGGCUCUUGUAUGAUAAUACUUUUCAGCCUUUAGCCCCUACUAUCCAUAUGCUUAUGGUUAUUUGUAAUGUCUUGGGAUGUGAGAAGUGCCAAAGCUCAUAGCAAGAAGUACUUAAAAAAUGAACAAACAAAAAAUGACAAAAGGCAGUAAUAUGCUGAAGUAAAAAAUGUCUUUAAAAGGAAGGUCAUCAGGAGACAAACUAUCCAUUGCUAAUUGAAUGUCAAUGUUAAAGAUAGGUUUAAAUGUGCUGUAGGCAUAGCUCACUAAAUAAGCACAGGACACUGACACAUCUCUUGGAAACAGACUUGAUUCUGAUCUACCACACUCAGGAAUACAUCAGCAGACAAUGUUAUAAAGUGUCCAGUGACAACAUCCACCGGACACUACUAAAAUCCUAGCAAUUACUUGCAAUGCAGCGUGUUCUGGAAGCAGGCUUUUCAGCACAAAGGUCCUAUAGGGCUUUUUAAACUUUUAAAUUUUCAUUUAUUAUAGGAGAGAUUUAUUAAAGGACAUAAUAGCCAAACUUUUCUAGUAAGUACAAGUUUAAAUCUUUAGAUUUGUCCAGAUGAUUCUAGUGACCUUUACUAG